rnacentral:rRNA from 1 species
UACAGAGGUCUCAAGCGUUUGUUCGGAUUCAUUGGGCGUAAAGGGUGCGUAGGCGGCGCGGUAAGUCGGGUGUGAAAUCUCGGGGCUUAACUCCGAAACUGCAUUCGAUACUGCCGUGCUUGAGGACUGGAGAGGAGACUGGAAUUUACGGUGUAGCAGUGAAAUGCGUAGAGAUCGUAAGGAAGACCAGUGGCGAAGGCGAGUUUCUGGACAGUUACUGACGCUGGAGGCACGGAAAGCGUGGGGAGCAAACAGG